rnacentral:rRNA from 1 species
AUUGAACGCUGGCGGCAGGCCUAACACAUGCAAGUCGAACGGCAGCGGAGGGUAGCUUGCUACCCCGCCGGCGAGUGGCGGACGGGUGAGUAAUGCCUGGGGAGCUGCCCAAUCGAGGGGGAUACCAGUUGGAAACGACUGCUAAUACCGCAUACGCUCUGAGGGGGAAAGGUGGGGAUCUUCGGACCUACCGCGAUUGGAUGCACCCAGGGGGGAUUAGCUAGUUGGUGAGGUAACGGCUCACCAAGGCGACGAUCCCUAGCUGGUCUGAGAGGAUUACCAGCCACACUGGAACUGAGACACGGUCCAGACUCCUACGGGAGGCAGCAGUGGGGAAUAUUGCACAAUGGGGGAAACCCUGAUGCAGCCAUGCCGCGUGUGUGAAGAAGGCCUUCGGGUUGUAAAGCACUUUCAGCGAGGAGGAAAGGGGUGAUGCUAAUACCAUCAUCCUGUGACGUUACUCGCAGAAGAAGCACCGGCUAACUCCGUGCCAGCAGCCGCCGCAGUAA